UACGUAGGGGGCAAGCGGUUGUCCGGAUUUAUUGGGCGUAAAGAGCGUGUAAGGCGGUUUGGUAGGUCCGCUGUGAAAACUCGAGGCUCAACCUCGAGACGCCGGUGGAAACCAUCAAACUAGAGUCCGGAAGAGGAGAGUGGAAUUCCUGGUGUAGCGGUGAAAUGCGCAGAUAUCAGGAAGAACACCCGUGGCUAAGGCGGCUCUCUAGUACGGUACUGACGCUGAAGACGCGAAAGCGUGGGGAGCGAACAGG
rnacentral:rRNA from 1 species